CCCUGGCUCUGUUGUUGAUCAAUGUGUCUUCUCCAGCUUCUGCCAUCCAUUGUAUCGACUCUGUACGAAUGGGGCCCCGUUACCUGUACCACCGUUGCCAGUACCCAUAGCGGUUCCACUGUUAAAUUUUUAGCAUAGACUGAAUCACCUGUUUGGAACGUCCGGCAUUUGCUGGAUGAAUCUAGUG